CAAGAUAUGAUGAUUCUGAACACUGAGGAGGUCGAGCUAACGGGAUAACACAAGAGGAAGUCGAGCUGCUGGUCUGUUAGUGACUCUUGGAGAUGGAGAAGUGGAUUGCUGCCUAUGAGGAAGAGAAGGUGAUACAUGUAUCUGCAACAAUAGAGGAGAUCACCAGGAAAGCCUGUAGUUCGAUUUUAACAUAUUUGUUCUGGAGGAAUUCGAAACUUAUGAAUAUGCAAGACGGUGUACAUUCAAGGUGGAUUCAUUCUUCUACAGGGAUGCUGACGAAGCCAAGGAUCAGGAAACAGAUGAGGGUGCUUCUCUAGUGGCCUAUUUUGGUGUUGCUGAUAGGAUUUCU